AUUCACCAGGGGUUUCACCAUCACCGAUCUCCUUACCACCUGCAACUACGCCGUCUCCAUCCCCUGUACCAUCUCCUUCACUGGUUCAUCACUCUAAUCCUAACUCCGAAACUGCACCACCUUCCACUUUGACAUUUGCUCCAAUUCCCGAGGGUCCUUCGCCAUACAUAUUGACAAGCGUUGACGCGAAACACAAAAACCAUCACUGGAAAGUCUAUGGAUCAAUAUUGUCUGGAGUGUCCUUUCUCCUUGCUUCAACGGCAGUUUAUGUACUUUGCUGCCGAGCCAAGGUUGUGACAGUCAGACCUUG
rnacentral:misc_RNA from 1 species